rnacentral:lncRNA from 1 species
CCUGACCUCAGGUGAUCCACCCGCCUCGGCCUCCCAAAGUGCUGGAAUUACAGGCGUGAGCCACCGCGCCCUGCCAAGCAACGUCACUUAUUACCCCUGCUGACUUGGGAGCAAAUGUCACAUAUAAAUUCCCCCACGUGCGGAGGUGUUUCCCUUUCCUUGCUGUGUCUGCAUUCGACAGCAGCCACGCUAAGCGGCUGGACCAAAUGGAGCAUCAUAACGUGUUAUUUUAUUUUAUGAUUUUAUUUUAUGUUUUUUGAGACAGAGUCUCGCUCCUCCCGUCCACCUGCCGGCGCUCCUGGGGCUUCGGGCCACGGCUGUCUCCUCCGGGAGCGGCGGCGCUGUAGGAAGCCUGGUCCUCUCCCUCAGCGGUCACAGCCAUCGCUCGCGUACGCCCCCGGACUGACGCCUCCCGCCGGGAGCCCUCUUCGAAUCCCGCCUGCGCAACUCCCACGCCACAGCCCUGGGCCAUCCCUGCUCCCGCGCAGCCCCGGCCGCCUGCCUCCUACCUCGCCUCCCCAAGGCCCCAGCGCGCCGGGGCUUCCCUGUCCCGGGCGCCUGCUCGUGGCGGCGGGCGGGCUCCUUGUCCGGCUCUUAAGGGCCGGCGCCGGCUCCUGGGCCUCCCCUCCUUCCCAUCGCGGCCUGCUCCUCCCACCCGCCUUCUCCGAGCUGAUGCCAAGGCCGGACGGACGCGACAAAGGCCUGCUGCCGAACGUGACCUGUCCGCAGAGUAGACAGACGGGCCCCCUGACCGCCAGACUGAGGAGACCCGGCGGGCGGGAGCGGAUGGGCGCGCCUGCGCACCCCCUCCCGGCGCUCGCCAGUCACGUGGGGCCGCGAGUGGCGCCGCUGCCGGAAGCGCCCCCCAAGGAAACGCAAGCAGUGGCGGAGCGGGGUUCCGCCUGGGCCGGGCUCUAGCGCCGGCGCUGCGCGGGAGUCAUCGCGUGCCGACUUCCGUGUUGUCGCUCUCCCCUCCCAAAAGCGCGGCCGCGAGGACGGGCGCUGCCAGCGAUUUCCUCGCCUUUGUGUCGCGGGGCUGUCCGCUGCGCGUUACUUGGUGCGAUACGCGCAUUCGGCGGUGAUCCCGAGCCCCACGCGAACCUCCCUGUGUCCUUGCUAGUGCCUGGCGCCGUCACUGACGCUGAGGCGUGAACACGGAGUCGGCCCAGAGGGGCUGUUCUCCCGGACGCCGAGGCCACCCCACGCGGCCGCAGGGCCGGGCAGAGGGGAACUGCAGGGAGGCGCGGGCCGCAUCCCUCCCGGAGGUCUGCGAGCUUCUUGAGGCCUCACGCCCCCUUUUGAGCCCCGCUGCUGCCCUGUGGCGCUGCUUCUCCAUCCCUGCGGGUGACCAUCGACGCGUUCCCCUUGCUCGCUUCUUGGUUACGGGCCAGGGGAUACUCCUGCCCGACCCUCGGCAUUGCCCAAGGGAGUUUGCACUUCCCACUGUGCUCUGCCAAGCCUCUGUGGAGAGGAGCCCUCCACCUGCCUGACCGGGCCCAGCUUUGGGGAAGACCUUCUUGGUUUUGUCUGCUGGCUGGACUGACCCUGGCCCUCAGCCCAGGUGAGGCGACCAGCGGCAUGAUGCCCGGGUGGAACACGGAUUUCUCUCCAGGGUGGCCGAAGAAUGGUUUAGAAGCAGCAGUGGGAUGAGGGAGAAUCCCGACCCCGUCUCAAAAGGUGAAGAUACGUCAGGUCUGGGGGAAAAAUAUCCCUACUCUAGAGGGCUAAGAGAGCUUGGUUUGGUGCAAAUCUGAGAAUCCCUCAACACUUUAAUUUCUUUAAUCCUGCUAACAGUUAACAACUUCCUACAGGCUGACACCUCAGGAAUAAGCUCCUUCACCUGCGUUCCCUCUGUUUCCUCUAUUCUUUCCUCCAAUCCUUAAUUUUUUUUUUUUUAGAUGGAGUCUCACUCUUGCCCAGGCUGGAGUGCAGUGGCAUGAUCCCGGCUCACUGCAACCUCCACCUCUCGGGUUCAAGCAAUUCUGCAUCAGCCUCUCGAGUAGCUGGGAUUACAGGCGCCUGCCACCACACCCGGCUAAUUUUUGUAAUUUUAGUAGAGACAGGGUUUCACCAUGUUGGCCAGGCUGGUCUUGAACUACUAACCUCAAGUGAUUCACCCACCUCAGCCUCCCAAAGUGCUGGGAUCAGAGGCUUUUUUUUUCCUUUUGAGAUGGAGUUUCACUCUGUUGCCCAGGCUGGAGUGCAGUGGCGUGAUCUCGGCUCACUGCAAUCUCCGCCUCCUGGGUUCCAGUGAUUCUCAUGUCUCAGCUUCCCAAGUACAAGUAGUACUUCCCAAGUAACUACAAGUGCCACUUGUAUUUUUAGUAGAGAUGGAAUUCUGCCAUGUUGGUCAAACUGGUCUGGAACUCCUGGCCUCAAGUGAUCCGCCCACCCUGGCCUCCCAAAGGGGAUUACAGGCAUGAGCUACCACACCAGCCUCCUCCAAUCCUUUCUAAAAAGCAAGUUUAACCAUGUCACUCAUUUGCUUAAAAUCUAGGCCAGGUGUGGUGGCUCACAUGUAUAAUCCCAGCACUUUGGGAGGCUGAGGCAGGAGGAUUGCUUGAGCUCAGGAGUUGGAGACCAGCCAGGGUGGGCAACAUUGUGAGCCCCCAUCUCUAAAAAAUAAAUAAAUAAAAACUUUGUUAACUAUAGGAUGGAUGGAUACGUAGAUGGAUAAUGUAUCAGAAGCACUUUUGGCUUCACAGCAGAAACUCCAAGUGUGGUGAUUUGAACCAAUAGGGAUUUAUUUUUCUCCCAUAACAGGAAUCCUGGAGGUAGAUGUGACUGGCAUUACUUCAGCAGCCCAGUGCUGUAAGGGCCAGCAAUUGCAGGGACAGGCUUUGCAAUUCUGUGACUUUCCCUCAUGGUCACAAAAGGAUUGCCACAGCUCCAGACAUCACACCAUGUUCUGGCUGUAAGAAUGGGGAAAUGAUAGUUACAGAGAUGUUUAUCUCUUUAUUAUGAAAGCAAAAUUCUCAGAGGCUCCCCAGUAGGCUUCUAUGUACAUCGUACAUGGCUGAGCAGUGCCAUGAUCUGUCAGUCUGUCGCCUGCAUGCUGGAGAAGGAAGACAGCCAUGGUGUCAUUAGUCUGAGUCCAAGGCCCGAGGGCAGGAGAAGAUGGCCAUCCCAGCUCAAACAGAAGCAAAUUCUUCUUCCACCUUUUUGUCCUUUUCAGGCCCUCAGAUUGGACAGUGCUCACCCACACUGGUGUGGGUGGGUCUUCUGUACGCAGUUUACUAUACUAAUUCAAGUGCCAACUUCUUCCAGAAACGCCCUCACAGACACACCCAGAAAUCACAUUUACCAGCUAUCUGGGCACCCCCUUGCCCAGUCAAGUUGACAUAAAAUUAACCAUCCACCAUGUGACAACUGAGGCAGAGCUCGAAGUGCUGCAGCUUCAAGCUGAGGAAAGCAGGACUGUGACCCCACACCAGAUGCUGCUAGGAGAGCAGCGAGGGAGGGGCCUCCUCUCAGCCUUCAGAGGAAGCGCAGCCCUGUGGCACCUUGCCAUCCGGCCUCCAGAGCUGUGUGAAUGCAUUUCUGCCAUUUGUAGCAUGCAAUUUGUGGUCCUUUGUUACGGCAGUGGAACCCCAGCGCAGCCCCCGACCACAGUGUCUGGGCAAGUGGGAGGGAGGGGGUAGACAAGCAACCAGAUCCCACAGUUGGGUUUUGCUUAGUGAUUCCAAAGAGAGACCCAACCAAGGGCCCAGGCUUCUACCCCUGGGCUUUCAAGGAAGUGACAGAAGCUACACAGCUUGGCCAGGCGCGGUGGCUCACGCCUAUAAUCCCAGCACUUUGGGAGGCCAAGGCAGAUGUUUGAGACCAGCCUGGCCAACGUGGUGAAACCCCAUCUCAGCCAAACAUGCAAAAAUCAGCCGGGUGUGGUGGCACAUGCCUGUGAUCCCAGCUACUCAGGAGGCUGAGGCAGGAGAAUCACUUGAACCAGAGGCAGAGGUUACAGUGAGCCAAGAUUGCACCCCUGUAUUCCAGCCCAGGUGACUGAGCGAGAGUCCUAUAAGCUACACAGCUCUGGCAGCCUCAUGUCAUACCCUCUCCUGUCCUACCUACAAGAGGGGAGGGAAUUCAGAGCACAUAUCCUGAUAGGCAAAAUGCAGUGAUUCCCACCCCUGUCACCCCUGAAGCAGCGAGGGUGUGCAUUUGAAAUGCUUGCAGGUGAGGACUCUGGCAUCUCACCCCCCAGCUGGGAGCCAGCCAAGCUACAUUCCCUGCAGACAGUCCUGCUGUCUCCCUGGGAGCAGAGCGAUCCUUGGGGCUGGGCUUAUUGUCCCCGAAGGUGGGCUGUCCAGAUGAACGUGGAGACGAUGCCCACCACCUUGGGUAUUUCCGAAUGUGGGAGCCCAUGAGAGCAGCAGGCACCAAACUAGUAAGGAGGCAGGCAGGGUGGCAGGCCUGGGGCGAGAACGCCCUGGGUGGGGCCUGCAGAAACUGGAGCUCUCUCCUUCGAACUCAUUUAGAGGUGCAGGCAGGGGUCAGGGAGUAGACCAGGGGCCGAGGUGCCCGGAGGCCAGCCAUGUAGGGCCGUGAGGCUGGUGAGGUUUGAGAGUCAGGGACCCUGACCUUCACGCCCUUUCUCAGGGCCCUGGGAGGGACCCCAGAAAUGUACUUGCAGAGUCAUGUGACAUAAUUUACAUACCUUAAAUAAAUACACAUAUCUCUACAUUUCUCUCCAUACCAUCUGUCCAUCUAUCUACAGUCUGCCAGGGCUGCCAAAACAAAAUACUACAGCCUGGGCAGCUUAAACAAUGGAUUUUUUUCUUUUUUUGAGGCAAGGUCUUACUCUGUUGCCCAGGCUGGAAUGCAGGGGUGCGAUCUCGGCUCACUGCAACCUCUGUCUCCUGGGUUCAAGUGAUUCUCCCACCUCACCCUCCCCAGUAGCUGGGACUACAGGUGCCCACCACCAUGCUCGGCUAGUUUUUGUAUUUUUGGUAGAGAC